rnacentral:sRNA from 1 species
AGAUACUCAUCCCACUCGUUAUGACAGCAUAUGGCUUCAUAAACCCAGGGAUGAUGUAGAGCUGAUUGUCAGUGCCUAUGGUCCAAGUUAUAGAUGAGUAAGCAUCACUGUCUUUUCAUCGCAAACCGGACACAACGUUGAGUGAGGCACUAUCCG